rnacentral:rRNA from 1 species
GAUGAACGCUGGCUACAGGCUUAACACAUGCAAGUCGAGGGGAAACGACGGGGAAGCUUGCUUCCCCGGGCGUCGACCGGCGCACGGGUGAGUAACGCGUAUCCAACCUGCCUCUGACUGAGGGAUAACCCGUCGAAAGUCGGCCUAAUACCUCAUGCCAUCGUCUGCGGGCAUCCAACGACGAUUAAAGAUUUCAUCGGUCAGAGAUGGGGAUGCGUCUGAUUAGCUUGUUGGCGGGGUAACGGCCCACCAAGGCGACGAUCAGUAGGGGUUCUGAGAGGAAGGUCCCCCACAUUGGAACUGAGACACGGUCCAAACUCCUACGGGAGGCAGCAGUGAGGAAUAUUGGUCAAUGGGCGAGAGCCUGAACCAGCCAAGUAGCGUGCAGGAUGACGGCCCUAUGGGUUGUAAACUGCUUUUAUGCGGGGAUAAAGUGAGGGACGUGUCCUUCAUUGCAGGUACCGCAUGAAUAAGGACCGGCUAAUUCCGUG